GUAGCUCAGUGGCAGAGCAUCAUCUGCCUUGUAUGCAGAUGAUUCCAGGCUCAAUCCCUGGCAUCUCCA